CAGUGGCUUCCUCCUCCCCAAAUUCCUCUCCUCGUGUCCUCCCUCGCUACCACGCUUGGGUGAAAUGCCCUCGCCGCCUCUCCCUGUGCUCGCCCAAAUCGUCGCCUCUCCCUCCCUGUCGCCCCUGCGCCACGGUGCUUCACGCCGUUGAAGUCACUUCACUCAUCCCGCCGAUGCAGUCGCCCACACCGCCUCCUCCCCUCCUCCGCUCAAGCCGCACCGCGACAGCUACACGCCGCGAUGUCAGCUGCCAGCAGCGCCCCCCUCUUAACAACGUCGCGACGUCCUCGUGGGCUAAACCCCCUCCAUCACUUCUUCCCGUCGAGAUGCACAACACCGCGAGAUCCAUCCACCUUCUCCAGCACCCCCACCCCCGCUCAAAUGGUGUCGCGAUGUCCGCCACCAACAGCGCCCCUUCCCCCCUCUCAAACAACGUCGCGACGUCUGCGAGUUCUGUAAGGAAUGAUGAAUAACUCCCAGUCGUGAUUAUUCUUCUUCAGCCUUCUAUCCUUCCGAGUUCUUUUUGGUGCAGGUGCAUGUGGGGUCAUCUUGGCACGAUGUGCGACCAUCGAUGAAGUAGCAGCUGCCUUCCCACAACGUCACUAUCCGCCUCCUGUGUGUGCCAGUAACCCCACCCCUCCUCAAACAUCAUACUAAUGGUCAUGAUCAGUCGGGUGAUUGAGCUUUAACCUUGAAGUCCUAGGAUAAUGGUGGCAAACCUUUCUUCAAGUGUAUUAGAAAUGAAUGAAAAACAUAGUACCGGCUGACAGCGGCUGCGGCGAAGCUAUCUGAGCGGUAGCGGAGUACUAAGGGGUGGAGAGAGGGAGCACUGUCUCAUGCAUGAAAUAAAGUCUCCAAAACAAAAGAUUUGGUCCAGAGCGCGGCCACACGGGCCCAACAAUAGCAACGUCACAUGGUGGUUGCCAUUGUCACGUCGAGCUCUCCCUCUCCACCAACUAACAGUUCCUGACGGUGGAGCAGAAAUUCAUUAAGAGCAUAUAGGGAUUCACAAGUGAUUUUGAGCCCAACAAUCUUGCUGCCAUCGAUACUCCUGAUGCAAGUGGAGGAUUUGGUGACAUGUUUUGCUGUGAAGUUUGCGAACCAUGGUAAACCAACACCUAUUGCUUUGAUAUAAUCAUCUCGAUCACUGGUUGAUGUAUUUGAACAGGACAUGAAUGAUGGCAAAGUUGUAUGCGUCGUUGGAUUUGCCUUUCUGUUUGCAGUUGAUGUAAGGAAAUGCUAUGCUGCAACUUUUGCCACUUUUGUGUUAUCAUGAUAAGCAGUGCUUCCCGGCUGGGAAAUGAAAGUCUUGGAUUGUCUUUGGUGGUAGGUGACAUCAAAUCCUUGUGUUUCUUGUGAGAUUAAUUUCUUUCACACGAAAAAAUGGCGGGCUACAUAGAUUAUUAGUUAUGCACCAGAUAGGAAAUGCACAGACUUUGUAGGUGUGACAAAGAGGCAAGAUAAUAUAUUUUGUGGAUGUAUCUUAGAUUUUACAAUGCU